rnacentral:rRNA from 1 species
UACGUAGGGGGCGAGCGUUGUCCGGAAUCAUUGGGCGUAAAGCGCGUGUAGGCGGUCCGGUAAGUCCGCUGUGAAAGUCGGGGGCUCAACCCUCGGAUGCCGGUGGAUACUGUCGGGCUUGAGUACGGAAGAGGCGAGUGGAAUUCCUGGUGUAGCGGUGAAAUGCGCAGAUAUCAGGAGGAACACCAAUUGCGAAGGCAGCUCGCUGGGACGUUACUGACGCUGAGACGCGAAAGCGUGGGGAGCGAAUGGG